AAUCAACGCUGCGGCGUGCCUCAGACAUGCAAGUCGAACGAUUAAAGCUCUCUUCGGAGAGUGUAUAGAGUGGCGCACGGGUGAGUAACACGUAAGUAAUCUACCCUCGAGUGGGGAAUAACGUCCGGAAACGGACGCUAAUACCGCAUAAUGCAGCGGCACCGCAAGGUGACAGUUGUUAAAGGAGAAAUUCGCUUGAGGAGGAGCUUGCGGCAGAUUAGCUUGUUGGUAAGGUAACGGCUUACCAAGGCUACGAUCUGUAACCGGUCUUAGAGGACGGUCGGUCACACUGACACUGAAUAACGGGUCAGACUCCUACGGGAGGCAGCAGUCGGGAAUUUUGGGCAAUGGGCGAAAGCCUGACCCAGCAACGCCGCGUGAAGGAUGAAG
rnacentral:rRNA from 1 species